CUAAUUUAUAGACACAUAUGCUAUCGUCUACAAUCUAUUUUCAUUUUUACUAAUUGUUUUAAUUAUUUUUUCUCAUCUUAUUGAAUUCUUUUCUCGUUUCUAUCUUCGUUUCACCGAUCGUUUUAGAUGCACAAGUAACCACUGUUAACUAGAAUAGCAAAGUAGAUAGAUGAACGAUGGAAAAUGUUCGAUAAUGAGAAAGAUAUAAGCCUCGAAUAUGAACUAAUUAUUUCGUACAUUUUAAUGAAAUGAUCUUAAAAUUGCCUAACAAUUUGCUUUUUGUUUGAUCAUUAUGUUGCUUGGUUUAAGGAAGCUGCCAUAGCAAUUAAAUAUCAAGAGAUAUAUAGGCCCUUGAAUAGAAGUACGAGAUUGGAAGGGAUCAUAGAAGCUUCCUUUGAGUUAAAACUCUGAUUUAUUAAUUUUCUCCGCUUCGGUAUGUGAAUCGUCAACGGUGUCUAGAAGGUAAUCAAUGGUAGACUGCUACCGGAUAAAUAAAUAGUGAAGUAUCUGUAGUAUUGGUUCUACAAUUCGCAUAUGAAACGAAAUAUACCGUUACUUGAUGCUUUAUUAUUAUUUGUUUUAUUCUAGUAUUAGUUAAGCUGGGAACGGCUUGCUGUGGUUGAUAGAUAAACAUUGUUGGGAAAUUUCCAUUUUAUUAAAUUAUUAGUAUCCCCAGGCAAAAAAAAAAAAAAAUUGGUUUAUUUAGACUUGGACUCUUUUUACAUUUAAAGCGUAGAAACAAAAGAAGAAGAAAAAAACAAUUAAUAUAAACGAUAGCAUUACGUUAGAUGGGUUGCUGAACAAAAAAAAAAAAACACAAAAAACUACAAAAUAAAGUAAAAAAAGAAAUAAUGGUAAAAAUCAGAAAAAAUAAAUUAAUUUAUAUAAAAAUACGGAAUAUUAUUAAAGAAAUCAAUUAAAAAACAGGAAGUUAUUUUAAAUAGACUUCCAUUCAAAAAUAUCCCUUUUCUAUAUUUUUGUAAUUCAUCACCCUUGGCUAUCGAGCUAAUGAAGAUAAUACCAACCCUGGAUACGUAUAUCAAUGGUGAAGAGUGUGUAAUAAUUGAGUUCGAAGUUCCAUGAAAGAACUACAUUAUGCCAUACUUUAUCACGUCUUAUCGUAUUUCUUUAGGAUUCCACUUAUUUCACUUCAAGUGGGAGAGCUCUUCAAGCAACUUAGGUAUUCGUUACGUCCAAAAACUAAACAUUUAACGGCAUAUCCCGUCAAUCUCCUUAAUUGUUUUUUAAAGAUCGCUUUCUUAUGAAUUGUGAUUUUAGCAAUACAAUAAAACCAAACACGCCAUACAAAAAUGUCCACAAACCUCACCUUACUUACUUGUGAGCACUCUCAUCUUAACCAAGCAUCCGAACUAUAAGCAGGCAGUCCAAAUCCUCGUUAAACACAUAUUGUACGUAUUAACGAAUACGAAAAUAUUACACCAUAUUGUGCUGUUUCAUUCAGAAAUCGGUUUUUCCGUCUCUAAUCGUGCCAUACGCUAUUGUAAAUUUGCGCGAAACAAAGCGUCGCUACUCUGAGAGCAUAGAGGGAAACUUUUGUCACCCUCAACAUGCUAAAGAAUACUGGUUGAACAGUUUACUUCCAACCACACGCGUGUAGCAG